rnacentral:lncRNA from 1 species
CGAGAUGCAUCCCAGUGUUAUGUAAAGAUGGUGUGCCUGAGGGAGCCCCCACAGCUGGUGCUGGGCCUGCAUUUCCUUGGCCCCAACGCAGGCGAAGUUACUCAAGGAUUUGCUCUGGGGAUCAAGUGUGGGGCUUCCUAUGCGCAGGUGAUGCGGACCGUGGGUAUCCAUCCCACAUGCUCUGAGGAGGUAGUCAAGCUGCGCAUCUCCAAGCGCUCAGGCCUGGACCCCACGGUGACAGGCUGCUGAGGGUAAGCGCCAUCCCUGCAGGCCAGGGCACACGGUGCGCCCGCCGCCAGCUCCUCGGAGGCCAGACCCAGGAUGGCUGCAGGCCAGGUUUGGGGGGCCUCAACCCUCUCCUGGAGCGCCUGUGAGAUGGUCAGCGUGGAGCGCAAGUGCUGGACAGGUGGCCCGUGUGCCCCACAGGGAUGGCUCAGGGGACUGUCCACCUCACCCCUGCACCUCUCAGCCUCUGCCGCCGGGCACCCCCCCCCAGGCUCCUGGUGCCAGAUGAUGACGACCUGGGUGGAAACCUACCCUGUGGGCACCCAUGUCCGAGCCCCCUGGCAUUUCUGCAAUGCAAAUAAAGAGGGUACUUUUUC